rfam:Tepidimonas fonticaldi strain PL17 contig_7, whole genome shotgun sequence.
GGGGCUGCAUUGGUUUCGACGUGGGUUCGGACCCGCAGCAGGGCAUGUCGAGGUGCUGUCACCUCGUUAAACCGCAGCAAAAAAGUAACUGCGAACGACGAACGUUUCGCCCUCGCCGCUUAAUCCGGCGAGCCUUGCACCGGUCGGCCGAUAGGCCGGGCCGCGGGGGCCGCAAGGUCCUCCGGCAGCAAGGGAACCUUCAUCGGCUGGUCGGGCGGCGGGCAACUUGCCGCACGAUGAGAUCCAAGGUUGCUGGUCCGGGACGCAGCGUGCCGCUGCGCGGCGCCUCGGGCGAGAUCCAGUCCAGACGGCUACACAUGUAGAACUGCGCGAAGAAGGCUUGCGGACGGGGGUUCGAGUCCCCCCAGCUCCACCA